UACAGAGGGGGCAAGCGUUGUUCGGAAUUACUGGGCGUAAAGGGCGCGUAGGCGGCCUGCUAAGUCGAACGUGAAAUCCCCGGGCUCAACCCGGGAACUGCGUCCGAUACUGGCAGGCUUGAAUCCGGGAGAGGGAUGUGGAAUUCCAGGUGAUAGGCGGUGAAAUGACGUAGAUAUCUGGAGGAACACCGGUGGCGAAGGCGGCAUCCUGGACCGGCAUUGACGCUGAGGCGCGAAAGCCAGGGAGCAAACGGG
rnacentral:rRNA from 1 species